GGCGACUUGGCGGCGGGUGCCAUGCGUCUGGAGCUUCACAUUCUCUGCCCCCCACCCACCGCGCCGGCGCUCCCUUGUCACGCCUCGGGAAGCGCGCACCUGCCAAGCAGACAAGGUCACUCUGUCGCCGGAGGGCAGUGGCAUGAUCAUAGGUCACUGUAACCUGGAACUCCUGGGUUCAGGCAAUCUUCCCACUUCAGCUUCCUGAGUAGCUAGAAUUACAGGAUGAAUAAUCUGAUAUCAUGUGAAAUGAGGAAAUAAGAAGCUUUCUGCUGACUUCAUUUUGACCCAGGGUCCAAAAGGUGAUGUAAUCCUGUGGCAAGAAGAUUCAAAACUGUGGACUAUCUUGCAAAAAAUACAAGAAGAUAUUGAAAGUUUUCAUGAGUGCCUACCACCUAAUCUCAAACACUAUCAUUCAUAUGUGCCUCAUUGAGCAAAUCUUUAAUGAGGAUCUAUAUGCCAGCAAUAUCUUUUGCUUGGGAGCAGAAACAGAAAGUACAUGAUGGACUUCAUUGAAGGAUGGAGAUUUGGAAGACAUGAAUGGAUGAAGAACCAAGUGCGUGAGGGCACCUAUCAGGAUUAUUGCUGAAAUCCUUAUGGAGUUAACUGGCUGAGAGGAAGUAGAGAUGGGGUUUCACCAUGUUGCCCAGGCUGGUCUCAAACUCCUGAGCUCAGGCCAUCUGCCCGCCUCGGCCUCCCAAAGUGCUAGGAUUACAGGUGCCUGCUUCCCCUUCACCUUCCACCAUGAUUGUAAGUUUCCUGAGGCCUCCCCAGACAUGUGGAACUGUGAGUCAAUUAAAUCUCUUUUCUUUAUAAA
rnacentral:lncRNA from 1 species